GACGAACGCUGGCGGCGUGCUUAACACAUGCAAGUCGAACGGAAAGGCCCUGCUUUUGUGGGGUGCUCGAGUGGCGAACGGGUGAGUAACACGUGAGUAACCUGCCCUUGACUUUGGGAUAACUUCAGGAAACUGGGGCUAAUACCGGAUAUGAGCUCCUGCUGCAUGGUGGGGGUUGGAAAGUUUCGGCGGUUGGGGCUGGACUCGCGGCUUAUCAGCUUGUUGGUGGGGUAGUGGCUUACCAAGGCUUUGACGGGUAGCCGGCCUGAGAGGGUGACCGGCCACAUGGGGACUGAGAUACGGCCCAGACGCCUACGGGAGGCAGCAGUGGGGAAUAUUGCACAAUGGGCGGAAGCCUGAUGCAGCAACGCCGCGUGCGGGAUGACGGCCUUCGGGUUGUAAACCGCUGUCGCCUGUGACGAAGCGUGAGUGACGGUAAUGGGUAAAGAAGCACCGGCUAACUACGUG
rnacentral:rRNA from 1 species